GGUAGGAAAGUGACGCUUAACUGCCGCGCCGUGAGUUGCGCCGCCAUUUGCCUGCCGGUGUACGGAUUUCGGUUGGACUCUGUUCUGAACCUGCAACUGCUUGGUCUUUUCUGCUCUUAGAGGGGUUAGUCGUGCCACACUAUCACCAAAACCGACUCGGAAGCGCAGUGAGGCCUUGGGUUCAGCCAUGCCCAAGAAUAAAGGUAAAGGAGGUAAAAACAGGCGCAGGGGUAAGAAUGAAAAUGAAUCUGAAAAACGAGAAUUGGUGUUUAAAGAGGACGGGCAAGAGUAUGCUCAGGUAAUCAAAAUGUUGGGAAAUGGACGAUUGGAAGCCAUGUGUUUUGAUGGUGUAAAGAGAUUAUGUCAUAUCAGAGGAAAAUUGAGAAAGAAGGUUUGGAUAAAUACCUCAGAUAUUAUAUUGGUUGGUCUGCGAGACUAUCAGGAUAACAAAGCUGAUGUAAUUUUAAAGUACAAUGCAGAUGAAGCUAGAAGUCUGAAGGCUUAUGGGGAGCUUCCAGAACAUGCAAAAAUUAAUGAAACAGACACCUUUGGUCCUGGAGAUGAUGAUGAAAUCCAAUUUGAUGACAUUGGAGAUGAUGAUGAAGACAUUGAUGAUAUCUAAAUUCAACUCAGUUUCUGAGGAUUGUUGUGCAAUUUGGAUUUUGGUCAUCACCUGUUAAGAAGACUUCAUUCAACAUGAAUCAAUUUGCCAAGAAUAUCAGAACCUGCAUAUGUGAUACAGUUCAUGGUAAGUAGAGAGCCCCUCAAAAAACUUCCCUGCUGACUUCCUGUGACAAAUAUAAUUUGUCCAAAGAAUUUCUUUAAAAUGUGCAACUGUACUGCCAGUUUGUUUGCUAAUUGUGUCCUUAUAAAAUCCAAGUGUUGAAGUCCUAACCCCUAACGAUGAUUAUAUUUGAAAUUGAGGCCUUUGGGAGUCAUUAGGUCACAAGUGUGAUUCUUAUGAAUAGGCUCACUCAUCUUAACAAAGGUGUCCUCAGAGGGUUCUUCACCAUAAGAACACAGUUUGCAGAUCAGAAGAGGAUCCUCACCAAAACCCCAGCCAUACCAAAACCCUGGUCCUGGACUUCCAGUGUCUAGAACACUAAGAAAUUUCUGUUGUUUAUAAGCCAUACAGUCUGUAAUACUUUGUUAUAGCAGCCAAUGGACUUUUUUUUCUUGCUAAUUAGUAACUGUACAGUAUAGUAUUUCUCUCAAAAAUAUAGUCAUAAUUAGUGAGUUGGAUCAAAGUUGUAGUUUAUGUGCAGUUUUCCAUGAAAAUUAUUUUGACAUAUUUCAUGUAGAAGUUUUAUAGAUACAGUGAUUUGAUUAUAUUUCAAAUAAGGAAUAAAAGCCAGGAAGAAAAAUAUUUGUUACAAUCUUUGGUUUCCACAAUACAAUGACAUAAACUGUGUCUACAAAGAAAAUCAAAAUGUUUGAAAACCAAGAAAAAUAACCUUUAUAUUCAUCCCUCCGUAUCUGUGGGUUCUGCAUCCAUGGAUUCAACCAUGGAUCUAAGACUUUUUUUUUUAUUCCAGAAAGUUCCAAAAAGCAAAACUUGAAUCUGCCACACAAUGGCAACUACUUACGUAGGAUUUAUAUUGUAUUAGGUGUUGAAGUAAUCUAGAGAUUCUGUGCCAUUUUAUAUAAGGGAUUUUGUAUCUUUAGAUUUUUGACAUCUGUAGGGUGUUCUGGUAGUAAUCCUCGGGAGAUACCAAGGAUAGCUGACUAUAUUGAUUUGGUUCUAAUUAACCUUUUGUGUAAUGAAUUUGUUAGGGUUGCCUUUUUAAGCAUUGUUUAUCCGACUUACAGCAUAUUUAUACGUACACUAUAUACAGGAUAAAUAUGUUGUAUCAUUUGGAUGGAUUAAUAAAUGAAUAAGCCUUGGUAACAUUUGA